UUAGUCUGUUGGCGGGGUAACGGCCCACCAAGACUACGAUGGAUAGGGGUUCUGAGAGGAAGGUCCCCCACAUUGGAACUGAGACACGGUCCAAACUCCUACGGGAGGCAGCAGUGAGGAAUAUUGGUCAAUGGACGAGAGUCUGAACCAGCCAAGUAGCGUGAAGGAUGACUGCCCUAUGGGUUGUAAACUUCUUUUAUAUGGGAAUAAAGUAUUCCACGUGUGGGAUUUUGUAUGUACCAUAUGAAUAAGGAUCGGCUAACUCCGUGCCAGCAGCCGCGGUAAUACGGAGGAUCCGAGCGUUAUCCGGAUUUAUUGGGUUUAAAGGGAGCGUAGGUGGAUUGUUAAGUCAGUUGUGAAAGUUUGCGGCUCAACCGUAAAAUUGCAGUUGAAACUGGCAGUCUUGAGUACAGUAGAGGUGGGCGGAAUUCGUGGUGUAGCGGUGAAAUGCUUAGAUAUCACGAAGAACUCCGAUUGCGAAGGCAGCUCACUAGACUGCAACUGACACUGAUGCUCGAAAGUGUGGGUAUCAAACAGGAUUAGAUACCCUGGUAGUCCACACAGUAAACGAUGAAUACUCGCUGUUUGCGAUAUACAGUAAGCGGCCAA
rnacentral:rRNA from 1 species